UACUCUAUUUUUAAAAAUUUCUGAAAUGUUUAGUCCAGUUGUAUUUGUGUGAUUGGCUGCCUUUACUGGUCAUUUGAGAUGAACACUGAUUAUCCACCUAAUAAGUACUUUUUAGUUCAAUACUUACCACAGAUGGUGGGACCUGGGUGGAACCAAGGUUUCCUAAUGCUUCUUAAGAAUUUCUUUUUUCCUAAUAUGCUUCCCAGUGAUAACAUCAUUUCUUGUUGUUGUGUUUUGCAUAGACAUAAUAUUUUUACCAUUUGCAACAAACAACUGGUUUUGGUAUUUUCAAACCAAACUAGUUUCUUAGGGCUGCCAAAACAAAGUACUACAAACUGGGUAAAACAACAAUUUUACUCUCUCACAGGUCUGGAGGCUAGAAGGUUGAAAUCAAGGUAUUAGCAGAGCCAUGUUUCCUAUGAAGGCUGAAGUCCCUUCAUACAAUGAACCAGUUCCUGAAAAUUUGCAUUGCAAAAUCAUGAAGAUACUGUAACUUCAAUUCUGCUAACACUUACAUGAGAAGGAAAAGAGGCUGGGAAGCACAUAUGCAAAAGGUGGUCAUUGGUUAAGGUAUAUGGUGGACAAGAUGAGCUAGAAGCAUUUAUACUGUGGAAUAUCUAUAUGCUGAAUAAAUCACAAAGAAACCAUACUUGCCUGUGCAUUGUUGAGCCCACAAGAAAGUAACGAAUGUCCUAAAAACCACAACUCAAACAAAUCUUGAGCUGACACAAGAGAGACACACUUGAAGAAAGGAGUGAACUGCAAGUUAGAUCUGGAAAAAUUACCUUUAGAGAGACCAAGAGAGAAAAAAUAUAAAUGAAAGGAAUUAAAUGGAAGGAAGGCAAGGUGGAAAUGCUCAUAGAAUUGGUAAGAAGACUGGAGAAACAGCCUUAGAAGGUGGGCAGAAACCACAAGAGGCAAGGCCCAGCCACCAUCAACCAAGCCCCAGUCGAUGAAGAAGCUGAUUGGCAUCUCUGAACUGGAAACUUAUCACACACCAGUGGGUCCUUGAAUCAACUUCUUUGACAAGUGAUCUCCAUCACUAUUGUGACUCUGAAGUCAUCCACAUAGUCUAGUGUAGGUCAUAUGCUGGAAACCUUGUGACUACAGGGCGGAGAGGGUAUCUGGCCUCCUUUGGCUUCUGUCCUAACAGAAUAUUGAUAUUAAUGCAGUCAAGAUGCAGAACAAUUUCUUCACAGUAUUAGUCCAUUCUCAUGCUGCUAUGAAGAAAUACUUGAUACUGGGUAAU